rnacentral:rRNA from 1 species
AUUGAACGCUGGCGGUAUGCUUAACACAUGCAAGUCGAACGAUGAGAAAGAGCUUGCUCUCUCGAUUAGUGGCGGACGGGUGCGUAACGCGUAGGAAUCUACCUAUUAGUGGGGGACAACUUAGGGAAACUUAAGCUAAUACCGCAUACGCCCUACGGGGGAAAGAAGGGGAUCGCAAGACCUUUUGCUAAUAGAUGAGCCUGCGUAGGAUUAGCUAGUUGGUGGGGUAAAAGCUCACCAAGGCGACGAUCCUUAACUGGUUUGAGAGAAUGAUCAGUCACAAUGGAACUGAGACACGGUCCAGACUCCUACGGGAGGCAGCAGUGGGGAAUAUUGGACAAUGGGCGAAAGCCUGAUCCAGCAAUACCGCGUGUGUGAAGAAGGCCUUAGGGUUGCAAAGCACUUUCAAUUGGAAGGAAAACCUCGAAGCUAAUACCUUCGAGUUUGACAUUACCUUUAGAAGAAGCACCGGCUAACUCCGUGCCAGCAGCCGCGGUAACAC